GGCCCUCUGCGGUGUUAGCCAGCGAACUCGCUAUAUGCCUUGUCCCUACUUAUCGACCUCGGGUCGGCAUCGUCGCAGCCAGUGUGCAUGUUCGCCUUGGAGCGAAAAGCCUAAAGCCCGGCUAGCUGACCCACCUGAACCUGUGGUUCAAGGUCACUGAGCCCGCAGCGGCACUCGUGGAGGGCAC
rnacentral:other from 1 species